rnacentral:rRNA from 1 species
GAUGAACGCUGGCGGCGUGCUUAACACAUGCAAGUCGAACGGAAAGGCCCAAGCUUGCUUGGGUACUCGAGUGGCGAACGGGUGAGUAACACGUGGGUGAUCUGCCCUGCACUUCGGGAUAAGCCUGGGAAACUGGGUCUAAUACCGGAUAGGACCACAUUUUGGAUGGUGUGGUGGAAAGUUUUUCGGUGUGGGAUGAGCUCGCGGCCUAUCAGCUUGUUGGUGGGGUAAUGGCCUACCAAGGCGUCGACGGGUAGCCGGCCUGAGAGGGUGUACGGCCACAUUGGGACUGAGAUACGGCCCAGACUCCUACGGGAGGCAGCAGUGGGGAAUAUUGCACAAUGGGCGCAAGCCUGAUGCGGCGACGCCGCGUGGGGGAUGACGGCCUUCGGGUUGUAAACGCCUUUCGCUAGGGACGAAGCGUUAUGUGACGGUACCUGGAGAAGAAGCACCGGCUAACUACGUG